CACAAGAGUUGUUAUAUAUUGAACAGAUAGGGCUUCAAGAUGACAAAAAAAGCACCAACAAUAAUGGGCCAGGACUGAGGAGUUCCAAGAAAUGAGUAUUCUUCAGCCCACAAAUAUCAGUGCUGCCCCACUGCCCAAAACCAGAGUGUGGCAACAACUAAAUGGACCCUGACAAAUGUCCUCUAUGUUAGAGCCAGUCCCUUACCCAAGUGACCUACUAUUGCACAGCUGAGGUUGUUAUCAAACGCAGCAGUAGCUCAACUAUUUGAAGAAUGAGGUGGGCUAUACUAUUAGCCCUGGCGUCGCUUUCCGGAUAAAGUUUUAGGGUAAGUUAGGAUUUUCACUUUGAAGUCCAAUACCCUUCAUUCAAUUGACUUAAUACGCCACACAGUUGUUCAG